CGUUGCGAUCAUACCAGCACUAAUGCACCGGAUCCCAUCAGAACUCUGAAGCUAAGCGUGCUUGGGCAAGAGUAGUACUAGGAUGGGUGACCUCCUGGGAAGUCCUCGUGUUGCACCCCUUU
rnacentral:rRNA from 1 species